CCCUUAGAUGUUCUGGGCCGCACGCGCGCUACACUGAUGCAUUCAACGAGUCUAAAACCUGCUCUGAUAGGGGUGGGUAAUCUUUUGAAUGUGCAUCGUGAUUGGGAUAGAUGAUUGCAAUUUUUCAUCUUCAACGAGGAAUGCCUAGUAAACGCAAGUCAUCAGCUUGCAUUGAUUACGUCCCUGCCCUUUGUACACACCGCCCGUCGCUCCUACCGAUUGAAUGAUCCGAUGAAUAUCAUGGAUUGAGGAUUAUAGCAGGUUCGCCUGUCUUGAUCUUCGAGAAGUGAAGUAAAUCCUAUCAUUUAGAGGAAGGAGAAGUCGUAACA
rnacentral:rRNA from 1 species